ensembl:miRNA
CUAUUAUGUUGGUGCAAAAGUAAUUGUGGUUUUUGCCAUUACCUUUAAUGGUGCCAUAAUGGCAAAAACCUCAAUUACUUUUGCACCAACCUAAUA